rnacentral:rRNA from 1 species
UUGUUGGAUUCGUCUGACAUGAAACCGGCGCACGGGUGCGUAACACGUAUGCAACCUACCUUUAACUGGGGGUAUAGCUCAGAGAAAUCUGAAUUAAUCCCCCAUAAGACUACGACAUGGCAUCAUGGUGUAGUUAAAGCUCCGGCGGUUAAGGAUGGGCAUGCGGUACAUUAGCUAGUUGGUGAGGUAAUGGCUCACCAAGGCUACGAUGUAUAGGGGGUCUGAGAGGAUGAUCCCCCACACUGGUACUGAGACACGGACCAGACUCC